UCUGACUGUCACAUUAACAAGGAUGAACACUCUUGACUCUGCUUCGGAUUCGGAUCAUCAUAUAAUUCCCCAGUGAUAAUUGUAUCGAGUGAUGAAAGAGCUGACGGCGACAUUUUAAUGUAUGAUUGGCUUGGACCAUUGGAAUGAAGUCAUUUCAUGGUGCCACCACUUGGGAUGGUAUUAGCUGCAAAUAUAGACUUGUACUCAGUACUUAUUGCCUUUAAGAAGAAUGAGAUCUAUUUUGUGCUAACACCUACCGUGACCCAGAAUCUUGGUUUAUGCAGUCUCAUAGGAGUAACCUGUCUAAAGCAUUUAGCAAUGGGAUUGUAACCUGCGACGUGUGACGCAUCUGAAUACUGAAUUUUGAUACCAAGCAUGACCAUGAUUUGCCAGAAGAUCAUCUGUUUGGAUGUGACAUGGAAUAAACUGCAUAGUGAAAAUAAGUCAAGUUUUGGUUUGUGAAGACAUUUUUUUA